rnacentral:rRNA from 1 species
GACGAACGCUGGCGGCGUGCUUAACACAUGCAAGUCGAACGGAGUUCCUUGGAUAGAGGCUUCGGCCAAUUGAAAUGGAACUUAGUGGCGGACUGGUGAGUAACGCGUGAGGAACCUGCCUUUCAGAGGGGGACAACAGUUGGAAACGACUGCUAAUACCGCGUACGACCUUUGGGUGGCAUCACCUGGGGGUGAAAGCAGCAAUGCACCGAUAGAGUGCCUCGCGGCCUAUCAGCUAGUUGGUGGGGUAAUGGCUCACCAAGGCGACGACGGGUAGCUGGUCUGAGAGGAUGACCAGCCACAUUGGGACUGAGACACGGCCCAGACUCCUACGGGAGGCAGCAGUGGGGAAUAUUGCGCAAUGGGCGAAAGCCUGACGCAGCGACGCCGCGUGUGGGAUGACGGUCUUCGGAUUGUAAACCACUGUCGGAGGGACGAAGCUCUGACGGUACCUCCAAAGGAAGCACCGGCUAACUCUGUGCCAGCAG